AUUGAACGCUGGCGGAAUGCUUUACACAUGCAAGUCGAGCGGCAGCGCGGGGGCAACCCUGGCGGCGAGCGGCGAACGGGUGAGUAACAUAUCGGAACGUACCCGUCGUGGGGAGUAACACAGCGAAAGCUGUGCUAAUACCGCAUACGACCUGAGGGUGAAAGCGGGGGAUCGCAAGACCUCGCGCGAUGGGAGCGGCCGAUAUCGGAUUAGCUUGUUGGUGAGGUAAAGGCUCACCAAGGCGACGAUCCGUAGCUGGUCUGAGAGGACGACCAGCCACACUGGAACUGAGACACGGUCCAGACUCCUACGGGAGGCAGCAGUGGGGAAUUUUGGACAAUGGGGGGCAACCCUGAUCCAGCCAUUCCGCGUGAGUGAAGAAGGCCUUCGGGUUGUUAAAGGCUACUUUCUAGCAGGAACGAAACGGUAGGCCACUAACUACUGGCUACUAAUGACGGUACCUGAAGAAGAAG
rnacentral:rRNA from 1 species